rnacentral:tRNA from 1 species
GCCUGUUUAACUCAGUUGAUUGAGUGUUUGCCUGCCGAUUAAAAGGUUGCUGGUUCAAUGCCAGCCGGGGAUA